GUCGUAGUUGAGUCCUGCUGAUGAAACAGAAAACCUGCAACCUGCCCUGUUUGCAGGCAGAACAGACAGUUAAAUAUAUCAGCCAAGGAACAGCAGGGGCUGGUAGCUGAAGUUUGGACAGUCGAGCCCGUAAAUGAUGGAGUCUGGCUCUGUCAUCCAGGCUGGAGUGCACUGAUGCGAUCUGGCUCACUGCAUCCUCCAUCCUCCUCCCUGAUUCAAGCGAUUCUCCUGCCUCAGCCUCCAGAGUAGCUGGGAUUACAGGCACGUGCCACUAUGCUCGGCUAAUUUUUUGUAUGUUUAGUAGAGACAGAGUUUCACCGUGUUAGCCAGAUUUAUUCCACUCUGUUAAGCUUCCUGAAUCACAGAGAAGUUGUCAGAAAGAUUUUAGCCUCCGCUAUAGGAAGUCCUGCCCACCUUCUCCAGAUCUCUGUUCUCAUAGUCCAUCCUCUGGUUCCAGAUAUCUUCCUCGAAUAUCAACAGAGAAGAACAGCAGCCACGUGGAUAAGGCAGAGUUUGGGAAAUCCUGGAUUCCCUUAUCAUAAAGCAUCUUACAGUAACCUCAGAAAUGCAGAAGUUACUUGUAAUGGUGCUGUAGACACUGUACGAGAAAGUUUCACCUUUAUGAUCUAAUUUAAUUCUCACAAAAACCCUGUUAGGUAGGGUGUUAUUAUUUAAAUUUAAAUCAGAGGAAAAUGUAACAGGAAUUCUGCAACUUACAGUCAAAGAGAUAAUAAACAGGAGCAUCUGUGGUUUG
rnacentral:lncRNA from 1 species